AUGAGCACUGGGUGUUGUAUGGAAACCAAUUUGACGAUAAACUUCAUCUAUUGAAAAAACAUAAAAUAAAAUAAAAAAUAAAAGCUUAUCAUGUGCAAAGCAUUGUGCUACAGUGCAUGUAUUUUUUCAUUUAUAUCUCACAACACCCUUAUGAGAUAACAGAAUAAUGUUACUUAUAUCUGCUUUGUAGAAGGAAAUGGGAGUCUUAGAGAGGUUAAGCCACUUGCUCACCGUCAUGCCAACAGGCCAGGGCCAGGGCUCCAGCUCAGGCUUCGACUGACGCUGGAGCUGGAACUCAAAAAAGCAUGUUCCAAUGCUUCUUCUUUGGUUCCUUCCAGUAUUUACCCUUAUGCAUGCAUAAUUUUUACAUUUCUGCAAACAUAGCGCCGAUAGACCUUAUCUGCUGUUUUCACUUAGCAGAAUGCUAAAAACACUUCCGCAGUUAUUAUAGCAUAGCCACAAAAGAGAUGACUUUUAUUGAUGGUAUAUUCUUUCGUAAAAUGGAUAGAUCAUAGCUGACUUGAGCGUACUUCCAAUGUAGCACGUUUAUAUAAUUUUCAGUUUCUCAUCUAACAAUAAAUCUCUAGUGAACAUCUUCAUGCAUGUAGCAUUUUCUAAUUUUGACCUAUUUCUUGGGAUACAUUUCUAGGAAAGAAGAUAUUGAUUCAAAGGGGAGAUGCUGUUUUAUAAUUCUUCAAACAUAUUCUUCAAAAAGUUUUCUGAGUUAUGCCCCUGUGAGUGCUUGUUGAAACUACCAGGUUUACCAUGAUUUCAUCAGUAUGGAAGUUCAUCAUUAUUUUAAGUUUGUAUUAAUUCAACGCUUGCUUUCUUUGAAGAUUAUUGAGUACAAUCAACAUACAGUGCUAUAUUGCUUUCUGGAUACAACAUAGUGACCUUACAACUUCACCCAUUACUCCAUGCUCAUCACGUGUGUUUCCUUUUUUAGGGACAAGGCAUUAUUAGACUCAGAAUCUGAUUGGGAGAAGAGCAGUGGAAGGUUGUGAAAAUGAAUUGCAACCAAAACAGCUUAAGGUUUGAAGAGGUAUAAAAGUGGCUAAACCAUUAUAGAAAUUCUGACAAACUGUAGGAAAAAAUGGCAAGUUAGCCUUCAGGAGUGAUCAAGUAGACCAUGAAAGGAAAUACCCACUGUGACAAAGAUGGACAGAGAACACAGAAGACUGAGAAUAAUGAUUGGAGAAAAGAGAAACAUCCUAAGAAAUCUAAUAGCACUCUCAGACGAUGGAAAGGAGAUUGUGUAAAGGGAAGCAGCAGCAGAUUAUUGGGCUGUGGAGGUGCUUGCUGGUGGACAGAAUAUGCCCAAGAAAUCUGAGAAAGAAGCCUAAACAGAGAGAUAAAUAACAGGCCCUGGAAAAACACUUUGAAAAUGCAGUGCGGGUUCCAAGAAAAGCACUCUACCCAACUGUUCAGAGUAUGAAGACUGUCACAACACAGCUGGCAGAAACCACAUCACUGGAAAAAACCUGAAUCAAAGAAUUAGAGGGUAUGAAGACAGCUCUCUUCAAUUCCCAAUUCAGCCCUUUGCCAUAGAGCAAGAGAACCAUGGGCAACCUGCUUGCAUCACAAAAGUACUAAGCAAAAAUGGUACCUGAUCAGAGAGUUCAGACUCCAGGAGAAAGCUCAGGCUGCAGAAGGGAGCAAAUGGAAUCUCAAGUUAAUACGUCAAAGCAGCAGCUACUUGACUAAACACCCUCAGAUAUCCUUCCUCAAGAAUCACUGGAUAAGGACUGUACUCAAAGUGAACUUGUAGGAAGUUAAUCAGAAGGCCAAGGGUGUGGGCCUUGAAAUCACAGGAUGUGUGUGUGUGUGUGUGUGUGUGUGUGUGUUUGAUGUACAACCAAGUCUGGUCCACUACCUUCCUUUCCAGAGUAUGGGUUCAGACAUUUAUAGAUAGUCUUUGUUGUAUUACAAAAGACUAAGUUAAAAAGGCCUCCAGAUAAUCAUAAAUCAGUAGUUGUUAAACCUUUUUCCACCUUAUCACGUUUGAGAAAUAGCCCAGCUCCUGUACAACUUUAGUCACUGUGACCUUAAUUCUCACAUUCUCCAGAAUCCCUGGGGAAACAUGUUGGUAUAAUUUGUGGGGACACUCCUCUUACCCCCAUGACUAUCUUACCCACUUCCAGUCAUCAGUUGAGAUUCUGAACAUUUCUCUAGGUCUUGCUCACAAUGAUAAUAAAGUUUGUGAUUCCUAAACUGAGUAAAACUAAGCAAACAACACCUCUUUGUUUAAGCAAAACUUCUUUUUGUUUGAGCCUGUGUAUUUCACACAAGCACAGACGUUUAGGACACUCAGGUAACAUUUAUGGGACAGUUUACAUGUGUAUCACUUCAGUGCAGGCAGAGGGCCCAGUACAAAGACAAAUGUCAAUAAAUAUGUAUUUAAUAAAUGCUAGUUAAGUAAAAUAUCUAACAUUUCUAAGGUCAAAGGCUAGUCCAUGAUAUUUUAGACUUUUUAAGUAGCUAUAUUUAUCAUGUCCAAAGGGAACUGUCAGCACGAAUUUAAACAUAAAAAAAUAGGUGAAAAUACAAAACAAAAUGCUUAAAUGCAUAUAUGCCCUAAAUAACAAUGACCUUCAAGUGUGUAUCACAUAUCUAUUGGCUAUUUUCUUGUAGAUGACAAAAAAUUAUCCAUGAUUUACUUCUAUUUAGAAACACUCAAUUUCUGGCAUCGACAAGACCUCUUUUUAGAAGAGGUUUUUCAAAAAAAUUUAUCAGAUGAGCUUCUCUAAAAUAGUUUUUCUCAAAAUAAGAUCCACCUGCCAACUGCAUUUAGAAUCACAGGGGGUAACUGUUUAAAGUGUAGACUCCUAAUUAACUAUUUUCUCCACAUCUAAUCUUCGAGGAGCUAGGAAUCUACAUUUCCAAUCCUUCUAGUGAGAAGUUUUAGAGCCCUUGCACAAAGACCUUGAGGGUAAGGAAAAUAAUUUCCAAAAAUGAAACAAUAAUAAAACUAUGGGAAUACGAAUAUAUGUGUAUACAUAUACACAUACACAUAUAUACAUACACACACAUACUAUUGGGUAAUAAAACUAUGGACAAUAUAAGUACCUUAAAGGUUACAAAUCUGUCACUGUAAUUAUUAAAAUAAAAUCCAUAAGAAACUGUAGAAAGCUGUUCACCACACUUUUCCCCACCCCAGCACGCGUACACGCGCACACGCACACACAGACACACAGGCCUUCUCUCCAAAAGACAGAACUUAAACUUCUUUCAGAGACCUAAUAAAACUGAACAUUACCUACUUCAUGAUUCAUUCUAGACUGGACUGAACUGGGGGUGAGCACAGGCUCCUCUCCCUAGAUGUCCCCAGUUGUUAAAAAGUUCCAAAGUUGAAUUUGACUCAAAGGUCUACUGGGAUCUCAGACAUUCCUAUUAGCCCAAUAAGAACAUGUAGAUCCCUUUAGAGAAGGCAGAGAGCCUCAGAAACCCACUCACUGCUUCCAGGGUCCUAAAGACCCAGUCCGGAGUGGGGUUGGUCUCCAGGGAGAUGAACAGGUACACACAGUGGCAACGCACUGGCAGAAGGGCCUGGUUGUGGCUUUGCUUUCUCAAUACUUGGGGGCAGCAGCUGCUGAGUGCCCAUAAACUUGGCUGGAACUCAAAACCAGAGCUAAUAACAGUCUUUAUCGUCAGCUGUGUAUCAGCCAAGCCUAGGCAUUUCCCACCCAAGGGGGAAGAUCAGAGCCAGGAUGAAUAGGGGUAGUGCUACCCUAGAAUGUGAAUCUUUCUUCUCUUUGACAUAUCUUUCACAAUAUGAUUUUUAUCCUUAUCUUGAAGCACCUGAUUUUCCUUAUUUGUAGUGUGAUGUAAAGUCCUUAAAGAUAGGGGUUGGGGCAGGUAAGCCCACAAAUCCCCAAUGGGUUUGAGCUAGUUGCUACUACCCCUUAACACAACAUCCUAACUCUUGGGAACAAAUGAUAAAACCUUACAUUUAGUAGGGUAUAAGACCAACAUUCAGGCUAAACCAGAAAAAAAACCUGCAAGUGUGAUUUUUUUUUAAUAUUAAGAGAUAGGGAGUCUUUUUAUACUAGCACAAUCCUGCUCAGUUUAUGAAGACCAAUGGGAAAUUAAGAGAAACUUGCGUCACAUGGGGAAGCAACCUUAGGUUAUUUUCACACAUCUUCAGCUGACAUACAUCUCUAUAGACCACUUAAUCAUGCCAGUCACAAGAAAAACAAGAUAUAAUUUUCUUUAUCAAAUUUCUUUCCCUGUUCUGAUCCUACUCGGAAAAUAUACUCUCAUUUGUAAGCGGGAGAAGAAAACAUGUGCUUUCAGGGGAGUACAAUCGUUUGUAAAGGAUAUAUUCUGAAUGCCAUAAAAUUUUGUGUUUUCAUUUCUGGAGUAAAAAUAACUAUAGAAUAAAUAGAGACCUACAAAUGUUACAGAAAUAAAUAUGUAUAUUUGCACUUA